rnacentral:rRNA from 1 species
CCUACGGGUGGCAGCAGUGGGGAAUAUUGCGCAAUGGGGGCAACCCUGACGCAGCCAUGCCGCGUGAAUGAAGAAGGCCUUCGGGUUGUAAAGUUCUUUCGGUAGCGAGGAAGGCAUUUAGUUUAAUAGACUAGGUGAUUGACGUUAACUACAGAAGAAGCACCGGCUAACUCCGUGCCAGUAGCCGCGGUAAUACGGAGGGUGCGAGCGUUAAUCGGAAUAACUGGGCGUAAAGGGCACGCAGGCGGUGACUUAAGUGAGGUGUGAAAGCCCCGGGCUUAACCUGGGAAUUGCAUUUCAUACUGGGUCGCUAGAGUACUUUAGGGAGGGGUAGAAUUCCACGUGGAGCGGUGAAAUGCGUGGAGAUGUGGAGGAAUACCGAAGGCGAAGGCAGCCCCUUGGGAAUGGACUGACGCUCAUGUGCGAAAGCGUGGGGAGCAAACAGGAUUAGAUACCCCAGUAGUC